GAGCGGAUGAAGGGAGCUUGCUCCUGAAUUCAGCGGCGGACGGGUGAGUAAUGCCUAGGAAUCUGCCUGGUAGUGGGGGACAACGUUUCGAAAGGAACGCUAAUACCGCAUACGUCCUACGGGAGAAAGCAGGGGACCUUCGGGCCUUGCGCUAUCAGAUGAGCCUAGGUCGGAUUAGCUAGUUGGUGAGGUAAUGGCUCACCAAGGCGACGAUCCGUAACUGGUCUGAGAGGAUGAUCAGUCACACUGGAACUGAGACACGGUCCAGACUCCUACGGGAGGCAGCAGUGGGGAAUAUUGGACAAUGGGCGAAAGCCUGAUCCAGCCAUGCCGCGUGUGUGAAGAAGGUCUUCGGAUUGUAAAGCACUUUAAGUUGGGAGGAAGGGCAGUAAAUUAAUACUUUGCUGUUUUGACGUUACCGACAGAAUAAGCACCGGCUAACUCGGUG
rnacentral:rRNA from 1 species